CAAGCGGUGGAGCAUGUGGUUUAAUUCGAUGCAACGCGAAGAACCUUACCUGGCCUUGACAUCCACGGAAUUCGGCAGAGAUGCCCUAGUGCCUUCGGGAACCGUGAGACAGGUGCUGCAUGGCUGUCGUCAGCUCGUGUUGUGAAAUGUUGGGUUAAGUCCCGCAACGAGCGCAACCCUUAUCCUUUGUUGCCAGCGCGUGAUGGCGGGAACUCAAAGGAGACUGCCGGUGACAAACCGGAGGAAGGUGGGGAUGACGUCAAGUCAUCAUGGCCCUUACGGCCAGGGCUACACACGUGCUACAAUGGCGCAUACAAAGAGAAGCGACCUCGCGAGAGCAAGCGGACCUCAUAAAGUGCGUCGUAGUCCGGAUCGGAGUCUGCAACUCGACUCCGUGAAGUCGGAAUCGCUAGCAAUCGUAGAUCAAAACGCUACGGUGAAUACGUUCCCGGGCCUUGUACACACC
rnacentral:rRNA from 1 species